GUCCUACAUACGCAGCUACGCGCCUGUGGCUGCGCUGGAUUUAGGAGUCCGAGGAAGGAAACCCAAACGCCGCCGUGUCUGGGUGCAUGAUAGAGCUUGAAUCGGGUUAGAUUAAAUAAUCUCAGAUAUAAAUAACAAUAAUCGGGUUAAAUAACUUCACAUGGUGUGUCUGGUGUGUUUCCAGCAUUCGUAGUGUUGAUCGGCAGAGAAAUAGUCCGCCAAGACGUUGAGGUUGCUUAGCAACCAGAGACUCUGUCCAUGCAAGUGAACGGAGCGUUCACUCUUCGUCAUAACUAUCAAACCAAACAUCCUUCACAUUCACCGAGUGAACAUUAUGAAAGUAAAAUGCACAUUUCUCGCUAAAAAUGUUUCCAUAAACGCAUUUAAUGGCGUAACUAUGUUACUAUUUCCACCCAGAAUAAAGAAAGAUGUCAGCCGUAUGCUUCUGUGCAAGGGUCACUACUCUCUGCCAGUGACUAACGAAUUGCUUUACGGCACAGACCCCCAAACACGGAACCGGCUCGAUAUAAACACAAGUCACUAAGGGAUUGUUAUAUUCAUCAUAGAUCAGCCGACUAAAAAGAGACAGAGAAACCCAAUGUCGGAGGAACAGAAGAAGAGAAAAGGGAGACUGACCGGCAGAGAGGCCAGACACGAGUAAACGUUGGGCAAGCUUUUCAGGAAUAGCGUGAACUGAAAGAAAAAGAAGACUGCAAAUCAGACGCCGACUCGGCCGUGUUGCUUUUGAAAUUGAAAGUACCCUUGGGUGGCCUUUGUCUUCGUGGUAUUCUUGAUGUUGAUAGUCUCUGUACAAAUGUGUUUGCUCAACCAUUUUGUUGUGAGCCCUGUAAAAAUUGUUUUCUCGACCGUUUUGUUGUGAGCCCUGUAUGUUUCUAGCUUGCUUGGUUGCAACCAUAUAAACACCUUUGUUUCCA